UAGUAUAGCAUUUUACAGCGAAACUGCGAAUGGCUCAUUAUAUAAGUUAUCGUUUAUUUGAUAGUACCUUACUACUUGGAUAACCGUGGUAAUUCUAGAGCUAAUACAUGCUAAAAAUCCCGACUCCGGAAGGGAUGUAUUUAUUAGAUUAAAAACCAAUGCCCUCUGGGCUCCUUGGUGAUUCAUAAUAACUUUUCGAAUCGCAUGGCCUUGCGCCGGCGAUGGUUCAUUCAAAUUUCUUCCCUAUCAACUUUCGAUGUUUGGGUAUUGGCCAAACAUGGUCGCAACGGGUAACGGAGGGUUAGGGCUCGACCCCGGAGAAGGAGCCUGAGAAACGGCUACUACAUCCAAGGAAGGCAGCAGGCGCGCAAAUUACCCAAUCCCGAUUCGGGGAGGUAGUGACAAUAAAUACUGAUACAGGGCUCUUUUGGGUCUUGUAAUUGGAAUGAGUACAAUUUAAAUCCCUUAACGAGGAACAAUUGGAGGGCAAGUCUGGUGCCAGCAGCCGCGGUAAUUCCAGCUCCAAUAGCGUAUAUUAAAGUUGUUGUGGUUAAAAAGCUCGUAGUUGAACCUUGGGCCUGGCUGGCCGGUCCGCCUCACCGCGUGCACUGGUCCGGCCGGGCCUUUCCCUCUGUGGAACCCCAUGCCCUUCACUGGGUGUGGCGGGGAAACAGGACUUUUACUUUGAAAAAAUUAGAGUGCUCCAGGCAGGCCUAUGCUCGAAUACAUUAGCAUGGAAUAAUGAAAUAGGACGUGUGGUUCUAUUUUGUUGGUUUCUAGGACCGCCGUAAUGAUUAAUAGGGACAGUCGGGGGCAUCAGUAUUCAAUUGUCAGAGGUGAAAUUCUUGGAUUUAUUGAAGACUAACUACUGCGAAAGCAUUUGCCAAGGAUGUUUUCAUUAAUCAGGAACGAAAGUUAGGGGAUCGAAGACGAUCAGAUACCGUCGUAGUCUUAACCAUAAACUAUGCCGACUAGGGAUCGGACGAUGUUAUUUUUUGACGCGUUCGGCACCUUAC
rnacentral:rRNA from 1 species